rnacentral:lncRNA from 1 species
CCGGAUAAUCAAGCUACAGAUAAACUCUGCUAAUGAUGCCACGUCACCUCCGUUACUGUUGCUAAUCCAUCGUUAGUUCAAAAACCAAUUCAAAAUUUAAAUUCAAAUUCAACAAUAAAAGUUUUCAAAUAUUAAAACAAAAUUGUUUUGGAUGUGACAAAUAAUUGGUUAGUAAUAUUGGUAGAGAAACAACAUUUUUGUAAAAUGCUUGGCUACCCUAGACUAAUCAAAAACAGUGGCUAAAAUAAUAAUUUAAUAGCUUUUUAAAUUAUAGCACUAUUAAACUAGUUUACUUUGGGUCCAAACUAAGUUUGGCAGUGGACUAAUUAGUAAUACUAAUUUAGGUGCUCAUUUGGUAUUUCAUAAAACUAACAUAAAAGAAACUUCAAGUGAAAACAGUAAAGAAAAUAAAGAAAAUGGAAAGUAUAAAAAAACAGAAAAACAAACUAUCAAGAAUAAAACGGGCCACCCCCUCCACUGGGCCACGGCCCAGCUAACCGGCCAGCCUACUAACUAGCCGGCCCAACCGCGGCCUCUACUUCCCCCCUGGAUGCCCGAAACCCUAGCCCCACUCGCUCACUUCCCCCCCUCCCGCACGACGCCCACUCCGCUCACUCUCCCCCCUCCUCCCCGAUCCAGAUCGGAUCGGGGGAACAAACCCCGUCGCCCCCUGCGCCCCGACGCCAGCCCGCCACACGCCGGACCGCCCCGCCGCCACGCGACGCCGCCCCGUCCUCUCAUCCUCCCCGACCAGCCACCCAGGGCAACGGCGCCCCUCGCCGCAUGCCUGACGCGCCCGGAACUCGUCCUCGCCGGAGCGCUCCAUCGCCGGCCUGCCUCCUCUAUGUCGUCAUCGUCCCCAUCCUCCUCCCCAAAGGCUCCACCGAGCCUCGCCGACCCUCUUCUCUGCAAUGCCGGUGAGGCCACGGCCUCCCUCUCCUCUUCUUUCCUCUCUGUUGCACGUCACCGGCCCGCACCCCGUUUGCCCCUGCUCGACCCAGAGCGCGCGCCCAUGCGCUCCCGUGCGCCCUCGCGCACGCGACUAGCGCCAUCCAGCCGCAGCCACGACGCCCGUCGCCCCUUGCUGCCUGCGCCCGCCGCCGUCUCUACCCUGCGACACCUGGCCGUGUCUGCCCGGGUCGCCGCCGUCGUCCGGGGCCUCAUCCCACUCCCGCUGCGUCCGCCGUCCGCUGCGGCGGCCCUCUCCGCCACCGCGGCCGCCCUGGCCUCUGGCCUCGUCCCGCCACUCCCUGCGGGCGAGCGCCCACACAGACGCCCGUCGCCCCCAUCCCGUGUGGGCUCGGGCGCGUGCCCGCAGCCAGUUACGCCCGCUAGGCCUCUGAGCCACUGACAAGGGGGCCCUGCCCCAGAAUGUUUUAAUAAAAAAAAGGAAAAAAUAAUAAAAAUAAAUUAUUAAUUAAUUAAUUAGUGGCUUAAUUAAGUUAAUUAAUCAUGUUUAAUUAAUCUAAUUAACUAGUUAGUUUACUUAAACAGUAAUUAGUUUAACCUAAACCCUAAUCAACAUAACAGUGUAUGACAGGUGGGUCCCAUUGGGCCCACACGUCAGUUUGACUAGUCAACACCUCUGUUGACUGCUGAUGUCAUGAUGACGUCAGCAAACAUUGUUAUGGAUAAUGUUGAAUUAAAUUAAAUUAAUUAAAAUUCUAAAAAUGAUUUAAAUAUUUUAAAAUUAAUAUAAAAUAAACCGUAGCUCGGAUGGAAAAACUUUGUACAUGAAAGUUGCUCAGAACAACGAUACGAAUCCAGAUACGCAGCCCGUUCAUCCGCCACGCGUCCCUAGCAUAGUGAACCUGCAACAUUUCACCUCCGGUUCAUCUGACCGAAAACACAAAACACCGGGGAUACAUUCCCGGUUGUUCCCCCCUUCAUCGGUAUCACCUCAUACCAUGUUAGGGCACCCCUAGCACCGUUACUUGUCAUGUCAUGCAUCGCUAUGCAUCUGUUUGCUUAAGUAUUUAUUGUUUCUUCCCCCCUCUUCUCUCGCUAGACACCGAGACCGACGCCGCUGCUACCCAGUACGACUACGGUGUUGACGGCCCCACUUUCUUGCCAGAGCAACCAGGCAAGCCCCCCCCCUGAUCACCAGAUAUCACCUAUUCUCCUCUAUACUGCUUGCAUUAGAGUAGUGUAGCAUGUUACUGCUUUCCGUUAAUCCUAUUCUGAUGCAUAGCCUGACAUUGUUGCUACAUCUGUUGAUACCUUACCUGCAAUCCUAAAUACUUAGUAUAGGAUGCUAGUUUAUCAUCAAUGGCCCUACAUUCUUGUCAGUCUGCCUUGCUAUACUAUUGGGCCGUGAUCACUCGGGAGGUGAUCACGGAUAUAUACUAUACAUACAUACAUACUAUACAGAUGGUGACUAAAGUUGGGUCAGCUCGAUGAGUACCCGCAAGUGAUUCUGAUGAGGGGGCUGAAAGGACAGGUGGCUCCAUCCCGGUAGAGGUGGGCCUGGGUUCCCGACGGCCCCCGACUGUUACUUUAUGGCGGAGCGACAGGGCAGGUUGAGACUGCCUAGGAGAGAGGUGGGCCUGGCCCUGUUCGGCGUUCGCGGAUACUUAACACGCUUAACGAGAUCUUGGUAUUUGAUCUGAGUUGGCUACGAGCCUAUACGCACUAACCAUCUACGUGGGAGUAGUUAUGGGUAUCCCGGCGUCGUGGUAUCAGCCGAAGCACUUUAGACGUCAGCGACGGAGCGGCGCGCGCCGGAUUGGAACGUAAGCCUGCUCUUGUAUUAAGGGGGCUAGUUCUGCUUCCGGCCGCCCAUGCAACGUGCAGGUGUGCUAAGGGCGAUGGGCCCAGACCCCUGUGCACUUAGGUUUAGACCGGCGUGCUGGCCUCUCUGUUGAGCCUAGGUGGGGCUGCGACGUGUUGAUCUUCCGAGGCCGGGCAUGACCCAGGAAAGUGUGUCCGGCCAAAUGGGAUCGAGCGUGUUGGGUAAGUUGGUGCACCCCUGCAGGGAAGUUAAUCUAUUCGAAUAGCCGUGAUCUUCGGUAACAGGACGACUUGGAGUUGUACCUUGACCUUAUGACAACUAGAACCGGAUACUUAAUAAAACACACCCUUCCAAGUUCCACAGACAACCCGGUGAUCGCUUUUCCACAGGGCGACGAGGGGAGGAUCGCCGGGUAGGAUUAUGCUAUGCGAUGCUACUAGAGAUGCUACUGCCAUGCUACUGGAGAUGCUACUUGGAGAUGCUACUUGGAGGACUUCAAUCUACUCUCUUCUACUUGCUGCAAGACGGAGGCUGCCAGAAGCGUAGUCUUCGACAGGAUUAGCUAUCCCCCUCUUAUUCUGGCAUUCUGCAGUUCAGUCCACUGAUAUGGCCUCCUUACACAUAUACCCAUGCAUAUGUAGUGUAGUUCCUUGCUUGUGAGUACUUUGGAUGAGUACUCACGGUUGCUUUCUCCCCCCUUUUUCCCCCUUCCCUUUCUUUCUGGUUGUCGCAACCAGAUGCUGGAGUCCAGGAGCCAGACGCCACCCUCGACGACGACUCCUACUACACCGGAGGGGCCUACUACUACGAGCUACCCGCUGACGACGACCAGGAGUAGUUUAGGAGGAUCCCAGGCAGGAGGCCUGCGCCUCUUUCGAUCUGUAUCCCAGUUUGUGCUAGCCUUCUUAUGGAAAACUUGUUUAACUUAUGUCUAUACUCAGAUAUUGUUGCUUCCGCUGACUCGUCUAUGAUCGAGCUCUUGUAUUCGAGCCUUCGAGGCCCCUGGCUUGUAAUAUGAUGCUUGUAUGACUUAUUUUAUUUGUAGAGUUCUGUUGUGAUAUCUUCCCGUGAGUCCCUGAUCUUCAUCGUACACAUUUGCGUGUAUGAUUAGUGUACGAUUAAAUCGGGGGCGUGACAAGUUGGUAUCAGAGCCGACUGCCUAUAGGAAUCCCCCUUUCCAACUCCUUGGCCGAAGUCGAGUCUAGUCGUUGAAAAACUUUUACUAACAUGGCUGUGUGGCCCAUGGGCCCACGUCGCCAUCGGGUGGUAGUAGGAUCUUUUACUCCUCGACCUAUACUCUGGGACUCUGAUCUCUCUACUAUUCAGGUUAAAUGAAUUUGCUAACUCUAAGAUUAGGAUCUCGUAACUCCGCCUAUGUUGUCUCAACAUAGCCGGUCCCAAGCCCGGGUAAAGGAGGAGGGUUGUGAUAGGCUUGGUGAGCCAACGUAAAAACUCAGCCACUCUUAUGGAGAUGAAACCCAAAAGAUUUUCGUUGGGGCGUAACCCUCUCAGCGACGCGCCACAUCGGAACCCGGGUGUGGUGGAAAAUGGGCAAGGGCCGGGCCGUCACCCCCCAAGUGGCGCGCCGUAUCUUGAUCCGGAUACGCUGGCAAGUGAGCGAGGAUCGGGUCGUCGCAACCUUAGUGGCGCGCUACAUCGGCGCCCGGAUGUAGUGGAAAAUGAGCAAGGGUCUUCGCAUUUGACUCGACGAGUGCGAAGGGUAAGGAAGCUAGCCGAGCCUAGGAGGAUUCGCUUAGGUAGCUGGAACGUAGGGUCUCUGACAGGGAAGCUUCGGGAGCUAGUUGAUGCAGCAGUGAGGAGAGGUGUUGAUAUCCUUUGCGUCCAAGAAACCAAAUGGAGAGGACAGAAGGCAAAGGAGGUGGAGGAUACCGGCUUCAAGCUGUAGUACACGGGGACGGCUGCAAACAGAAAUGGCGUAGGCAUCUUGAUCAACAAGAGCCUCAAGUAUGGAGUGGUAGACGUCAGGAGAUGUGGGGACCGGAUUAUCCUGGUCAAGCUGGUAGCUGAGGACUUGGUUCUCAAUGUUAUCAGCGCAUAUGCCCCGCAAGUAGGCCACAAUGAGAACACCAAGAGGGAGUUCUGGGAAGGCUUGGAAGACAUGGUUAGGAGUGUACUGAUUGGUGAGAAGCUCUUCAUAGGAGGAGACCUCAAUGGCCACGUGGGUACAUCUAACACAGGUUUUGAAGGGGCGCAUGGGGGCUUUGGCUAUGGCAUCAGGAAUCAAGAAGGAGAAGAUGUCUUAAGCUUUGCUCUAGCCUACAACAUGAUUGUAGCUAACACCCUCUUUAGAAAGAGAGAAUCACAUCUGGUGACUUUUAGUAGUGGCCAACACUCUAGCCAGAUUGAUUUCAUCCUCUCGAGAAGAGAAGAUAGGCGUGCGUGCCUAGACUGUAAGGUGAUACCUGGGGAGAGUGUUGUACCCCAACAUAAGCUGGUGGUUGCUGACUUCCACUUUCGGAUUCGUGUCCAGCGGGAUAAGCGUGCCAAGGUCGCUAGAACGAAGUGGUGGAAGCUCAAGGGGGAGGUAGCUCAGGUGUUCAAGGAGAGGGUAUUUAAGGAGGGCCCUUGGGAGGAAGGAGGGGAUGCGGACAAUGUGUGGAUGAAGAUGGCGACUUGCAUUCGUAAGGUGGCCUCGGAGGAGUUUGGAGUGUCCAGGGGAAGGAGAAGCGAAAAUAAGGAUACCUGGUGGUGGAAUGAUGAUGUCCAGAAGGCGCUUAAAGAGAAGAAAGAUUGCUUCAGACGCCUAUACCUGGAUAGGAGUGCAGACAACAUAGAGAAGUACAAGAUGGCGAAGAAGGCCGCAAAGCGAGCUGUUGGUGAAGCAAGGGGUCGGGCAUAUGAGGACCUCUACCAACAGUUAGGCACGAAGGAAGGUGAAAGGGACAUCUAUAAGAUGGCUAAGAUCCGGGAGAGGAAGACGAGGGAUAUUGGCCAAGUCAAAUGCAUCAAGGACGGAGCAGGACAACUCUUGGUGAAGGACGAAGAGAUUAAGCAUAGAUGGCGGGAGUACUUCGACAAGCUGUUCAAUGGGGAGAAUGAGAGUUCUACCAUUGAACUGAAUGACUCCUUUGAUGAGACCAGCAUGCGUUUUGUGCGGCGCAUCCAAGAGUCUGAGGUGAAGGAGGCUUUAAAAAGGAUGAAAGGAGGCAAGGCGAUGGGCCCUGAUUGUAUCCCCAUUGAGGUGUGGAAAGGUCUCGGGGACAUAGCGAUAGUAUGGCUAACCAAGCUUUUCAACCUCAUUUUUCGGGCAAACAAGAUGCCAGAAGAAUGGAGACGGAGUAUAUUAGUACCAAUCUUCAAGAACAAGGGGGAUGUUCAGAGUUGUACUAAUUACCGUGGAAUUAAGCUGAUGAGGCAUACAAUGAAGCUAUGGGAGAGAGUCAUUGAGCACCGCUUAAGAAGAAUGACAAGCGUGACCAAAAAUCAGUUUGGUUUCAUGCCUGGGAGGUCGACCAUGGAAGCCAUUUUCUUGGUACGACAACUUAUGGAGAGAUAUAGGGAGCAUAAGAAGGACUUGCAUAUGGUGUUCAUUGACUUGGAGAAGGCCUAUGAUAAGAUAUCGCGGAAUGUCAUGUGGUGGGCCUUGGAGAAACACAAAGUCCCAGCAAAGUACAUUACCCUCAUCAAGGACAUGUACAAUAAUGUUGUGACAAGUGUUCGAACAAGUGAUGUCGACAUGACUUCCCGAUUAAGAUAGGACUGCAUCAGGGGUCAGCUUUGAGCCCUUAUCUUUUUGCAUUGGUGAUGGAUGAGGUCACAAGGGGUAUACAAGGAGAUAUCCCAUGGUGUAUGCUCUUUGCGGAUGAUGUGGUGCUAGUUGACGAUAGUCGGACGGGGGUAAAUAGGAAGUUAGAGUUAUGGAGACAAACCUUGGAAUCGAAAGGGUUUAGGCUUAGUAGAACUAAAACCGAGUACAUGAUGUGCGGUUUCAGUACUACUAGCUGUGAGGAGGAGGAGGUUAGCCUUGAUGGCCAGGUGGUACCUCGGAAGGACACCUUUCGGUAUUUGGGGUCAAUGUUGCAGGAGGAUGGGGGUAUUGAUGAAGAUGUGAACCAUCGAAUCAAAGCCGGAUGGAUGAAGUGGCGCCAAGCUUCUGGCAUUCUCUGUGACAAGAGAGUGCCACAAAAGCUAAAAGGCAAGUUCUACAGGACGGCAGUUCGACCCGCAAUGUUGUAUGGCGCGGAGUGUUGGCCGACUAAAAGGCGACAUGUUCAACAGUUAGGCGUGGCGGAGAUGCGUAUGUUGAGAUGGAUGUGUGGCCACACGAGGAAGGAUCGAGUCCGUAAUGAUGAUAUACGAGAUAGAGUUGGGGUAGCACCAAUUGAGGAGAAGCUUGUCCAACAUCGUUUGAGAUGGUUUGGGCAUAUUCAGCGCCGGCCUCCAGAAGUUCCAGUGCAUAGCGGACGGCUAACGCGUGCGGAGAAUGUCAAGAGAGGGCGGGGUCGACCGAUUUUGACAUGGGAGGAGUCCGUUAAGAGAGACCUGAAGGAUUGGAGUAUCGACAAAGAGCUAGCUAUGGACAGGGGUGCGUGGAAGCUUGCUAUCCAUGUGCCAGAGCCAUGAGUUGGUUGCGAGAUCUUAUGGGUUUCACCUCUAGCCUACCCCAACUUGUUUGGGACUAAAGGCUUUGUUGUUGUUGUUGUUGUUGUAAGAUUAGGAUCUCGUGAUCGCAUCCACCCGGAGAGCCCCUUACUACAGAGGAUCGCCUGCUACAUCAGAAGAUUCCGAAGAUACUCUCUGAUGUUCUCUCGAGACUUUGUGCCCAUCACUUAUGCUAUUCCUGACCACCGAUAAAUCCGUAUGGAUAACUACUUACACUUGCCAUUCAUAUGAUCAUCCCCCAUUGAUCUUGUUAUUACAAGAUACCCCGAAGUUUUCUCUAUUGUUCCGAGAAUACUUUGUGCCUACUGCCUAGCAGUUCUUUGCCACAUGAAUACCCCCUUCAAAUAAAUUCUCGCACUUAUCGAGUAUCCGUUCAUCCCCCAGUUGUUCAUGUGUUACACAAAAGUCUUCGAAAUACCACCCGAUAUUCCGAAAAUCCUCAGCAACCUAUUGCUCUGGAAUUUCUUGUUUGCUUUCAUUAUGAUUAAUCCCAUAAGUAUAGAAAUCUUAUUGACAUUCCUUGUCAUUAUCAUUUUGAGUCUGUUGACUCAAUAUGUUGCGAAUACACGCAAUCAUCAUUGAUCCUUAUAAAUUACCUUUCCGACGGAGCUUCCAUUCUUUUAACUGGAAUUGGUUCUCGACCAAUCCAAUUGUUGUUGAUUGUACCCUAAGGCUAUUCAACUUAUCCAUCCCUAAUCAGAGCAUUGCUUCUGAUCCCUUGAUUUGGAAAUCAUAAUUCCUUUGCAUUUGACAAUUGAGUUAGUCAGUUGUUUCUAUAAUCUGAUCUUCUUGCAUUCUUCUUCCUCUAGUUGAGUACCGAUACUCAUAUCAGAUCCUUUGUGGACCAUCAAGUCCUUUGUUGGAUUGUUAUCCGACAGUGUCCUUCACAUUUGAUCACCUUGUGAGUUCUUCCCCUGAUACAUAAUGCCUUUGUUAAGUUGUAUCCUCUGCUUGGCCAACCAUGCCCUGCUUUCGGGCUUGUGUUAUUUACUCUUGAAACUUGUGGUAUAUGUUUCUAAGAAGCCCCUAUGGGUUGAACAUAUGCCUUCUCUAAACCGUGUGAACCCGAAAGUUUUCACGAGUCAUACUAUUCUGGUGCUUCACCAGAUAAAAUUUCAACACUGCAACUUCAUCGAACGUGAGAAGUGAAUGAAAGGUUAUGCAUUGGAGAAGUGGGAGUCGACCUUGAACUUGUGUUCAUGCCCAUGGACACGAUGUAGAUCUUAUCAUUAAAGCUUCUCUUAAAUAAAUUAUUCCUUUGGUAUAAGUUCAUCUUAUAUCUAGGAUCUGGCCUUCUGCAACCGUGGUUCCGACCAUGAUUGUUCUUCUUUGAUCUCAUUUCUCGGACAAGUUAAAACAAUUGUCUUCUAUGGAUCAAUACACCAGUCCAACCUUUACUUUGAUCUUGUGUCGAGUAUUACCCCCCUGGCAUCUCGAGAUUAUCAUGGAACUGCAUAACUUUUUAUGAGUUCUUCAUCAAGUGCUACCUUCCCACUGAUUGCAAUUUUUCGCGGGCUCUGAGUUAUUGAACACUCAAAGACACCGAUAACUGAACCGAGUCCGCACUAUGGUUCAAAAACUCUUCGGUAAGCUUCUAUAAGUACGAGUUUGUACCCGAUCACGCCAUUCCUAGCCUAAUCGGCUAUAUCGUUAUCAUGCUAAAUUUUAACCGUGCUACCUGGUCCUUAUUCCCGGAGCACAACUUUUGACGAUAGCUAAGCUUACGGCGAUCGUCCUCGGCAUAUCAUUUCGCCUUGAACAACAAUCUUUGAUUUCAAGUUUGUAUUGUACUAGUGGUUUCAAUAACCUUUCGCUUCAUCAUUCCUUUGACUUGUUGUCAUCGCCGAUCAAUUACACCUUCAUGAAAUCUCUCGACAAUUGUGUCGGAUCACCUUCAACACUUUGACUUCUUCCGAGAUGUUAACGGUGUUCAUGAUGAGAAAUACCCUCCUUGCCCUUGAUGAUUUUAUUAUCAUCGACAACACCCUUGACUUCCUUUCAUCACGAGCUUGUCCACAUUAUGAAUACAACCUGCUCUCCAGCUAAUGUUGUGUUCUGCCUUGAAGUAUUACUGUCUUUUCUAUCAAGAAUGUUGUGAGGAUUGCUCCACCUCUUAAGAAUUCUUGAAAUAGUGAUACUUCUCCCCAUCACCUUCUUUCUUGGUCCCCGUGUUGUUUCUAACCGGAAUACCGACAAUUGAACUAAAGUCCUAGCAACCCUAUUGCUUUGAAGUGAGUGGUCAAUAACUCCAUUAUAAGUCUUUUGGUUAUUGAAUCGCCAUUCUAACAUUGAUCAUGCUACCUAAGCCCAUAUUUCGGGUGCACCUUUCAACCAAUGUUUAAUUGUGUAUGUUUCCCUCGAGCAUACAUCAUUAUAUCAUCAGAUCUGACAAAUGUUAUCUCCUUGUCCGCAUAAUUGUGGGAACCCAUCUUUUUGUAAAUCUCAAUGAAUUUUUGUUGAGUCCAUCAGCCACCUCCUCAUCCCCUCCUUGGUGUAAUGAUGAACUAUCGUUUCAGGAACCCGCUCCCAUAGUUCAUUUCCCGAGAAUCUUGCAAUGUCAUUUCAUCGAAUUUGUGUUGCACCUUUUCUUCUCGGACAUCCCGAGUCUGAGGUAUCAUGACACCAACCGGAUCCGAAUCUCGGUCAGAUAUGAUGGUUGGGACAACUUUCCAGGAGUUAUGAUGUUGGUCCUUUAAUGACCCGGUAAUAUGAUGUCCUGCCUAGCACCCCCCCCCCCCCGGCUGGAGGACCUAUCAUUAUAGUUUCCUUUUUAACAAGGCUAACCAUUCUUCCAUGAGGAAAUUAUAAGACUUAUUCUACAAGUUGUUCUUGAUGGAUCCUUCGUGUAUCCAUAGUCCGACCUUUGCUUGAAGACCAUGUCAAUGCUAUCUCGAAGCUUGUCUGUGGUACUCCGAUUUUCAAUAAGAGCAUUUGAAGCCCAAUGCUAAAUGUUUCUUGCUCAAUUCUCCAAACACCGUUGUAUGGGUAAGGUCUUGAAAUUCCUCUCCGCUUACCUACUUUCUAUCCCGUCGUGGAUAUCUUGCUCUACUUGUCCUUGGGAAGGAUAUACCCCUGAAACAUGUGUUUAAACACAUUUUACUUUCCAUUGUUCUGACUAUUCUGGUAAUCCGACUUAACUAAGCAGUGAUAAUUCCCUGCUUAGGUAAGAACCUUGUGGUACCACUCUGUCAGUAAGACCCUGUUACUUUUGUUGAUGACAUUCAGGUAACCACCGAUGGACGAGAACUUUGCCUAAUGGUCCACCUCGUUCAACGAGCAGGAAAAUGGUUCUCUUCGUCCCUCGCCCUUGGUACCGACGUUGUUACCGACAUAACUGACAGGUUAUUCUCUGGCAUGCCUUGCUAUCAUAACCGUGCAAGAUGUCACCGCUCUUUCAACGUUUAACCCACAUGGUGAGCCCAUAACCCACAGUUUCACAGGAUCGAAACCUAACUCUCCUUUACACCCUAGUGUCAAAGUUAUUCCUCACACUUGGCUUCGUAUGUAACUCACGGGCCACCUGCCACUAUUCGGGUAUCAGACGCAAUGCUUACUCUCGCUGCUCUGAACCUCUGUCUCCCUCUGGUUCAGACUUCGAGCAACUACCUAUCCGCUUGGAACCUCUUAUGGUACCUUCGUACCUUACUCUCGAUGUAUUUUAUAUGUUCAACUCGAGAGAUAAUCUUAUGCUCAUUCUUAUGUUAACCCCAGAUGGUUUCCCUCAUAAACAUUCUGUCUUAGCUGAGCUGCCCCUUACCUAUUCGUAAGUACGAUGGAGUCCCCGAAGAAAGGACGACAACUUGAUCAUGAUGACCUGAAACAGCGGAAUGAAGACAACAAUGUAAUGGAUCGACGUCUUCGAGAAGAGCAACCAAGACCGAGAAGAUCCGUUAGAUUUUUCGUAACCCAAUUCCUUCCCCCUUACUCCCCUCCUAAAUCUCGAGACGAGAUUUCUUGUAGUGGAGGAGAAUUGUGACGCCCGGAUAAUCAAGCUACAGAUAAACUCUGCUAAUGAUGCCACGUCACCUCCGUUACUGUUGCUAAUCCCUCGUUAGUUCAAAAACCGAUUCAAAAUUUAAAUUCAAAUUCAACAAUAAAAGUUUUCAAAUAUUAAAACCAAAUUGUUUUGGAUGUGACAAAUAAUUAGUUAGUAAUAUUGGUAGAGAAACAACAUUUUUGUAAAAUGCUUGGCUACCCUAGACUAAUCAAAAACAGUGGCUAAAAUAAUAAUUUAAUAGCUUUUUAAAUUAUAGCACUAUUAAACUAGUUUACUUUGGGUCCAAACUAAGUUUGGCAGUGGACUAAUUAGUAAUACUAAUUUAGGUGCUCAUUUGGUAUUUCAUAAAACUAACAUAAAAGAAACUUCAAGUGAAAACAGUAAAGAAAAUAAAGAAAAUGGAAAGUAUAAAAAAACA